rnacentral:tRNA from 1 species
GGAGAGAUACUCAAGAGGCCGAAGAGGACGGUUUGCUAAACCGUUAGAUCGAGCAAUCGGUGCGAGGGUUCGAAUCCCUCUCUCUCCG